rnacentral:rRNA from 1 species
GUUAAGUUGCAGGGUAUAGACCCGAAACCCGGUGAUCUAGCCAUGGGCAGGUUGAAGGUUGGGUAACACUAACUGGAGGACCGAACCGACUAAUGUUGAAAAAUUAGCGGAUGACCUGUGGCUGGGGGUGAAAGGCCAAUCAAACCGGGAGAUAGCUGGUUCUCCCCGAAAGCUAUUUAGGUAGCGCCUCGUGAAUUCAUCUCCGGGGGUAGAGCACUGUUUCGGCUAGGGGGCCAUCCCGGCUUACCAACCCGAUGCAAACUGCGAAUACCGGAGAAUGUUAUCACGGGAGACACACGGCGGGUGCUAACGUCCGUCGUGAAGAGGGAAACAACCCAGACCGCCAGCUAAGGUCCCAAAGUCAUGGUUAAGUGGGAAACGAUGUGGGAAGGCCCAGACAGCCAGGAUGUUGGCUUAGAAGCAGCCAUCAUUUAAAGAAAGCGUAAUAGCUCACUGGUCGAGUCGGCCUGCGCGGAAGAUGUAACGGGGCUAAACCAUGCACCGAAGCUGCGGCAGCGAACGUAUCACC